rnacentral:rRNA from 1 species
AAAGUUUAUUUUGUAUAAAAUUUGGUAUUGCGUACCAGUAGAGGAAAAUUACAUUUUUAUGUUUAAUAGAGAGAAAAAGUUUAAUUUUUUUUUAUUUUUAUUAUUACAUAAUAAAAUUUAAAAAAAUAUAGUGUUGAAAUAUCGUUUUUUCUGUUAUCUGUUUGUUAUUUAUGAUUUAGAAAGUUUUUUAAUUUUAGUAAUUUGUGGACUGUUAGAAUUUGAAGUGUUUUGUUUUAGUUUUGUAACUUAGUUUAAAAUAAUUUUUUUUUUUUUUUUUUUUUGUUAAGAUAUUAACAUAUUUUUUGUCUUUAUAUUAAUAUAAUUUUAUAAUUUUAUUAAUUUAUAAUAAAAAUUUUUAGAUAACUCAGUAUUUGGUUGGAUGUUUAUUAAAAACUUAGGUUUUAAUUUAAAACUUACUCCUGCUCAGUGAUUUUUAAAUAGCAGUCUUAGCGUGAGGACAAUAAAGUAGCAAAAUAAGUUGUGCUUUUAAUGAGUUCGAGUAUGAAUGGAGUGAACGGCUGAUGUUAUUCUUUAAUUUGAUUGGAAUUUAUUUAAUUACUAAAAAUGGUUAUUUAUAUAUAAACAAAGAUAAGUCUUCGGAAAUUUUUUUAUUAUAGAAAUACUUGUUUUUAUAAUAUUUUGUCUAGGGUAGAUUUAUAGGUAUAUAUUAUUACUAAUAUUAUUAUUAAAAAUUACUUCGGAGUUAACAGGAAAUCAUGCUUUUUAAAGUUCUUAUUUUAGAGUAAGUUUCACAUCGAUGUUGUAUUCUAGUUGGUUGGGGAAGAAGAAAAUUUAGUUAUUAAGACUGUUCUUCUUGAAGAAAAUUAGACGUGAUAUUAGUUUAAUUCAUCGUGAGAUAGAAUUGAUUAUCUUGUUAUUUAUUUUGUUUUAUUUUUAUGAGUACGAAAGGAAUAUAAUUAAAGGUUUAACCUUUUUGAUUUUUUUAAAUGAAUUAUUG